CAGCAGCCACGGGAAUACGUAUGUCGCAAGCGUUAUCCGGAAUUAUUGGGCAUAAAGGGCAUCUAGGCGGCUUUGCAAGUCCGAUGUGAAAACUAUUGGCUCAACCAAUAGCUUGCCUUGGAAACUGCUUUGCUAGAGUAUUGGAGAGGUGGACGGAACUGCACGAGUAGAGGUGAAAUGCGUAGAGAUGUGGAGGAACACCGAUGGCGAAGGCAGCCCCCUGGGCCAAUACUGACGCUCAUGCACGAAAGCGUGGGGAGCGAACAGGAUUAGAUACCCCGGUAGUCCCUGUCUCUUAUAC
rnacentral:rRNA from 1 species